UACGUAGGUGGCAAGCGUUGUCCGGAAUUAUUGGGCGUAAAGCGCGCGCAGGCGGUUUCUUAAGUCUGAUGUGAAAGCCCACGGCUUAACCGUGGAAGGUCAUUGGAAACUGGGAGACUUGAGUGCAGAAGAGAAGAGCGGAAUUCCACGUGUAGCGGUGAAAUGCGUAGAUAUCUGGAGGAACACCGGUGGCGAAGGCGGCAUCCUGGACCGACACUGACGCUGAGGAGCGAAAGCCAGGGGAGCAAACGGG
rnacentral:rRNA from 1 species